GGGUGAAGGGACUGGUAUGGCACCAACCACCAGUGAUGAAAGCAGAGAUGAGCCCAGCAGAGAGAAAGACACCACAAACAGCUGGCUGAGACCUCCUUCUAAGCACAGGGAAAGCUCCAGCAAGGAGGGACCACUUGGCUCAGGGGAAUGGGACUGAGUUUGAAGAGCUUUCAUCUCUUUACUGGCUUGAAUCCAGACCGGGAUGGGUAGGGAGUCGGCAGUGUCACUAUCUGAUCUCAGCCGCGUUCCUAGUGGGUCUACACCCACCCCACUGCUGGCAGGGUCCGUGGUUAGGCCAACGACUGGAUGGGCUACGGAGACUGAACUCCUUUGAAGGUUAGAAUUUAGGAUGGCCAAUUUUGGUUGGAUGUAUUCCUGGAGAGUUAGUCACAUGACAUCAUUUUUAAUUAAAGAUUAAUCUUUAAUUUCUGGAGACUCCAGACCAAUCAUGGGAUUAGACCUAGGCCUAGCUAGACUGGCGUCCAUGCUCAAUUAGCAGCAGCCAGCCCCUUUCUUGGCAGUCCCAUGGGGCGUGCCAAGGAAUGAAUGGCACCUGUGCAGGGGCGAAUGAGGGGCAGAACCUCAAGCCACCAGUGCCCGUGCUGCACCCGGCUGGUGCAUGACGGGAGAGCUACUUGACAAGCUGCUAAUCCAGAGUACGACAGCAAGGAACCUGGACAAUGCCUUUGACAUCAUACAUCGUGGGUGGCAAGCGAUGUAAAUGAUCCCCUUCAGCGACAGAGCAGUUUCGAGAGAUGCCAGUGCGCUCGCUCCAGUUCAAAUUCAGCUGCAGGAUUUACGGCCUCAGACCUGUCAAACUGCAGCAUAUGCAGCUGCUCCACAGGAAUUCCCUCCCUCGGAAGAGCCUUCCCAGUGCAUUCCUGUACAGAUGUCCCACCGCUCUGCUAAAAGGAUGUCACCUUCUCUGCUCCAGCAUCUAGCAGCAAAUACCUGGAGAAUCUCCAGGGGCCUGCCACAGCUCCUAGUGACAUCAGCAGGGACUGCAGGUGCGCAGCACCUUAGAAAUCAGGUCAUUUAUUUAGGUACCUAACAAAUCUGAGGAUUGCAGCCAUCGGGUGUGUUUAGGGAACAAAAUACCUACAUCAGGCAGUUAUGGCCUGUUUCUUCCCCAAGUGGUGAGCACCUGCAGCUCCCCUUGACUGCACUGAACGGGGCGGGGGGGAUGCUCAGCACCACAGAGAAAAUCAGGCCAUAAAUUAGAGUCGGUCCCAAAUCUUUUUCCCACCCCAUGGAAAUAUUCAACUACAACAAAAAAAACUUCCCUUUUCGUCAAAAUUUUCCAUGCAAAUUUUCGAGCUUUCAGUGAAAACCUGAAAACCAAAAGAUUUUGUCUGAAUACUGAAAGUUUUGGGAUAAAAACUUUUGGUUUUCAUCAGAAACAUUUUGAUAAAGAAAACAAACUUUUCCACCGAGAGCCGACACGCUUUUCGCUUUUCCCUCCUCCAAAACGCAAUUCCCCGUCAAAAAGCAAGUUCGGAGGAAAAUUUUCCACCAGCCCUAUUAUAAAUGCUGAUGUAGGCACCUAAGUUAGCAGUCAGAUGCCUAAAUGCGUAUCUGGUACCCAACUUUAGUUUGAAAAUAGGGUUCGUAAGUACUGGGCACGCUGAAUAAAGGACAUGGAGUUAUACCGCUCCAGGAGCCGGACUGUGACCCCGAGAGUCACAGUUCAGUCAGUGCUUCCCCUUUGCUCUGUGAAGUUGCUCCAGUGCAGUUUAUUUCAUCCAGAGGUGGCCAGCACAAUGGGGAUGAAGCCAAGGCUCUGCCCACUCCUCGUCCUUGCCCUCCUACCUGUGCAGGAGGGGAAGUCGCAGGCCUGCGGAGGUUGCUCUCCCCACUGCAUUGCAACCUGUAAUGUUGGUAGCUGGUUUGUAAGGGUGUCUUAUGCAUCCGUGCUGUCUAAACAGGCACAAAGUUUCCUCAGCUAGCACUCCCCAGGACUCUAUGCAACCGAACUAUCCUUCUGGGUAUUCCCAACGUGCCUCUCACAGAACUCUAGUCUCACAACUCUGGGCAAAUUUCCGGAGAGCUCAUUGGACACAUCUGUAAAAUAAUGACACGAACGGGGCACAUCAGGCAGUUAUGCACGGUCCAUCCCCUGCACGGCAUGUCAUGUCUGAAAUUCCAUCUGGCACUACAGCUGUUAGAUGCGUUUUCCUCCCUAGCAGCAUAGUAAGGUGAUUGGAGUCAACAAAUAAAAAAAGAAUAUUCAGCAA